AUUUGGAAAAAUAAUUGGUACUCCACAUAAAUAUCAUAGGAACAUUUUAUAACAUUUUUGUUAUCUUAUUUUCAUCACAAAUUCUGGAAUAUUUUGUCGCCCUGAUCUCGAAUAUUAUAUUUAAAGCAUCUUUUCCAAAUUUUCAAACAAUCAAAGCUUACCUCCGAGGGGUGAUGACUGGAACACAUGAAAAAAAUAAAAGCGACAGACAAACAAUUUCCUACAAGAAGAGCAACAAAUGCGGUUAGAAUUUGGUACAUUUUCGGUUUGACUUCCAUCGACUUUUUUUUUGUAAAGCAAGGGCAAAACGAAAAAAUGCGACAACUUCCAUUUAUUUUUUCCCGUCCUCGUGUAAACUAAUAGUUCGCUGAUAAUAUGUUGCAAAUUAGUAUUUUUCCAAAAGUUUUUGAUAUCUAACCGUUUACUCUUAAGAGCAAGUUCACUGGUGUUGGGAAAAAGUGGUAGAAAUUUUGACAUUAUUAAAAUUUUACCAUGCAAAACUGUUUUCAAGAUCUUGCGGCGAUGUAUUUUUUUACAACACUGUUUCUAUUUCAGCCGUAUGUGAUAAAAUAUUGCUAUUUUUGCAUCACAGCAUGCGAAAAUCCAACACGUGUUGUAAAAAAACUAGAAGGCCACAGAUCUUAAAAAUGUUUUUGUAUGGCAAAAUUUUCAAAAUGUGCCGUAAGUGUCAAAAUGUCUACCACAUUUUCCCAAGACCAGUGAACUUGCUCUAAGGGAUAAAUAAACCGUAAUCCUAGACAGAAUAUUCGAACGGUUAAAUCGAAGCCACCAUUUGUGUUUUUAUUUAUUAGCAAUAAAAUCGCUAAGAUCACUCAUAUUUUCUUUGUUCUUUUUUGUAUUCCCUUUACGGUUGGAUUGGCUAUCAAUUGGAUCGUCGGAACUGAGCGCUGUCUGCUCAAAAGACCGAUGACUAGAUUAAGACUGAGAUGACUAGCGGCAGCUUUUCGGAUUCCAGUUCCAGCGAUAGGAGCUCCAGCGGAAGUUAAUCUGGAGGUUUCAGAAGCGAUUUGUGCCGUUUUUCCAGUUCGGGAAGUGUCAACAUCUUCAACAUCAUAAUCACGUUCACGUCUCUCUCACCAUCAUAAAAUAACCAGGAUUGCCAGGAAGGAAAGAAACGAGCUUGGUGGAGUCAUUCGAAGGCUGCAGCUCUGAGCCCUAAUCUGACCGGAAGAAGGUGUUGCGGUGGACUACAAAUGUUAUGGAAUUUCCCGCUGCGAAUGAUAGCAACGUAUCAAUGCUAACGGGGCCAAAACAUUCAUGAAGUUGAUACCGAUCCAAAAAGUGGUGCUGAUGGUCAGUCCAAGUCACUGGGAUUUGGAGAGAAUAUCUCAGUUUCUCAGCGCCGUUUUCCCCCUUCCUGGGAAUUGAGUUUCAUACAACCUAUUGUAGGAAUGCCAGGACACCUCCCUCCCAUCCCCAGCUAAACAGCUGAAACCUGAAGUUUUCUGCAAUUAGGAAUU